rnacentral:rRNA from 1 species
CCUACGGGUGGCAGCAGUGAGGAAUAUUGGUCAAUGGUCGGGAGACUGAACCAGCCAAGCCGCGUGAGGGAUGAAGGUACAGAGUAUCGUAAACCUCUUUUGUCAGGGAACAAAGGCGGGGACGUGUCCCCGGAUGAGUGUACCUGAAGAAAAAGCAUCGGCUAACUCCGUGCCAGCAGCCGCGGUAAUACGGAGGAUGCGAGCGUUAUCCGGAUUUAUUGGGUUGAAAGGGUGCGGAGGCGGUCUGUUAAGUCAGCGGUAAAAGCCCGGGGCUCAACCCCGGCCCGCCGUUGAGACUGGCAGUCUCGAGUUGGAGAGAAGUAUGCGGAAUGCGAGGUGUAGCGGUGAAAUGCAUAGAUAGCGCGCAGAACUCCGAUUGCGAAGGCAGCAUGCCGGCUCCACACUGACGCUGAGGCACGAAAGCGUGGGUAUCGAACAGGAUUAGAUACCCGGGUAGUC